UCCUUAUCAAAUCUAAGGUAAAAGCUUAAUUCAAAUAUUAAUUAAAAUUUAAUCAAAUCCUAAGUCAAUCUUUAAUUGAAUUCUUAAUUGAAUCUUAAUCAAAUCUUAAGUUAAACCUUGAUGAAAUCCUAAUAAAUUCUAAAUCCUACAAAAAUCCUAAACCAAAUCUUAAGUAAAUCCUAAUAUAAUUCUAAAUCUGAAACAAAC
rnacentral:lncRNA from 1 species